GAUGAACGCUGGCGGCGUGCCUAAUACAUGCAAGUCCAGCGAACAGACGAGGAGCUUGCUCCUCUGACGUUAGCGGCGGACGGGUGAGUAACACGUGGAUAACCUACCUAUAAGACUGGGAUAACUUCGGGAAACCGGAGCUAAUACCGGAUAAUAUAUUGAACCGCAUGGUUCAAUAGUGAAAGACGGUUUUGCUGUCACUUAUAGAUGGAUCCGCGCCGCAUUAGCUAGUUGGUAAGGUAACGGCUUACCAAGGCAACGAUGCGUAGCCGACCUGAGAGGGUGAUCGGCCACACUGGAACUGAGACACGGUCCAGACUCCUACGGGAGGCAGCAGUAGGGAAUCUUCCGCAAUGGGCGAAAGCCUGACGGAGCAACGCCGCGUGAGUGAUGAAGGUCUUCGGAUCGUAAAACUCUGUUAUUAGGGAAGAACAAAUGUGUAAGUAACUAUGCACGUCUUGACGGUACCUAAGCAGAAAGCCACGGCUAACUACGU
rnacentral:rRNA from 1 species